CCAUCAUUGAGUUGGGCACUCUAAAGAGACUGCCGGUGUCAAACCGGAGGAAGGUGGGGAUGACGUCAAAUCAUCAUGCCCUUUAUGUCCUGGGCUACACACGUGCUACAAUGGUCGGUACAACGAGAAGCAAGUCAGCGAUGGCAAGCAAAUCUCUAAAAGCCGAUCCCAGUUCGGAUUGCAGGCUGCAACUCGCCUGCAUGAAGUCGGAGUUGCUAGUAAUCGCGGAUCAGAAUGCCGCGGUGAAUGCCGUUCCCGGGUCUU
rnacentral:rRNA from 1 species